rnacentral:tRNA from 1 species
GUUAUUUUGGCAGAAAAGUGUAAUAAAUUUAGAAUUUAUAAAUGUAUUAUUUAAUUUAUAAUACAAAUAAUA